AAUGCAGAGUGGUACCACCAAUCACCUAAGCCACCAUUCCCCUAACAGACAAUAAGCUCAUGGGGACAGUUCCUGCAAUUUACAGAAAAGCUCUCAAUUGUAGCCCUACGAACAUCAGAUACUGGCGAUGGUGAAGCUUGGGUGCACCGGGCCGGUUUUCCAGCCGUGUGGAAUCAACAUCUCCAGCUGAACUGGGGCCGGGAAUUAUAUAAGACUCCUUAGCAGCAUGAGUGCCAGCCAGUCAUUGCUGUUCUUUGCAUUGCUGAGGAGGACAGUCCUGCCAACAUAACAGUUUGUUCAAUAACAGGAGACAAACAGAAUCACAGAGGUGCUAUACAUUCUGAUGGAAAAACAAAAGCAUCUCCCAUCAUUUUGGCGUGGCUCAGAUCAAGAGGAGAAUUUUAAGAAAGGUGAUGGUUGGGCACACACAAGAAGACAUAGGUCACAGGUGUCUAGCCAUAUGAGUAGAUAGGAGUGUCACACUCUGCCAAACUUACUUCAUCAGAUGAGCAGAAAGCUUCUCAAGAUCCAGCACUGCACACUAAGACAUAGUCUUUGACUACAACAAGGUGAUGAAAGUACAGAGAGGUCCAAUUGAAAUCAAUUCUGUGCUGCGUCAUUUCUUCAUUCUGGAAGUCAUUUCUUCAUUCUGGAAGUCGAUGGACGUGAUUUAUCAUUGCAUAAAGUGUGCAGUUUGCCGACUAUCAGCAGUCUUGUUCACCAGCUGUGCAACUUGAGCUGGUAGCUUUAUUGCUUGAAGCCACUGCAUAAGAGGGGGAAGGUGCAGGCUCAUCAAAAAGUCUCAAAAGUUGAAACUAGGAAAAGAAGUUUAUCAAGAGUGUGAAUCUAUUUUGAA